rnacentral:rRNA from 1 species
AUUGAACGCUGGCGGCAGGCCUAACACAUGCAAGUCGAGCGAGCGGCGGACGGGUGAGUAAUGUAUGGGGAACUGCCCGAUAGAGGGGGAUAACUACUGGCAACGGUGGCUAAUACCGCAUACUAUCGGAUGAACCCAUAUGGGAUUAGCUAGUAGGUGGGGUAAAGGCUCACCUAGGCGACGAUCUCUAGCUGGGCUGAGAGGAUGAUCAGCCACACUGGUACGGAGACACGGCCCAGACUCCUACGGUAGGCAGCAGUAGGGAAUAGUGCGCAAUGGGCACAAGCCUGAUGCAGCCAUGCCGCGUGGGUGAAGAAGGCCUUAGGGUUGUAAAGUACUUUCAGCGGGGAGGUGUUACCCGCAGAAGAAGCACCGGCUAACUCCGUGCCAGCAGCCGCGGUAAUAC